rnacentral:lncRNA from 1 species
AUGCCCUUCUGCAGGACGCUGGGUAGAGGUGGCUCCAGUGGGCCGGAGCCGCCCGCGCAGAGCCCAAGAGCUUCAUUCCCUGAAGCAGACAGGAGAAGAUAUGUGUGGCGGGUCUUUUGUUUCGUCAUUUGCUUUGGUGCCUUGAAGGCAGACCCAUGGGAACAUCAGCGAGGUUCCCUCUGUCCUGCAGUCCACUGCGUUCAGCCAGUAGCAGGUUGGGAUGUGCGUUUCCAGGGACCCUCCUGCUCGGCGAUCCAGUGUGGACAAAUAAGCGUGUCCUGCCCAGCUGAUGACGGUAGAGAAGUCCACUGA